GAUGAACGCUGGCGGCGUGCUUAACACAUGCAAGUCGAACGAUGAAGCCCAGCUUGCUGGGUGGAUUAGUGGCGAACGGGUGAGUAACACGUGAGUAACCUGCCCUUGACUCUGGGAUAAGCCUGGGAAACUGGGUCUAAUACUGGAUAUGACUUCUCAUCGCAUGGUGGGGGGUGGAAAGAUUUAUUGGUCUUGGAUGGACUCGCGGCCUAUCAGCUUGUUGGUGAGGUAAUGGCUCACCAAGGCGACGACGGGUAGCCGGCCUGAGAGGGUGACCGGCCACACUGGGACUGAGACACGGCCCAGACUCCGACGGGAGGCAGCAGUGGGGAAUAUUGCACAAUGGGCGCAAGCCUGAUGCAGCGACGCCGCGUGAGGGAUGACGGCCUUCGGGUUGUAAACCUCUUUCAGUAGGGAAGAAGCGAGAGUGACGGUACCUGCAGAAGAAGCGCCGGCUAACUACGUG
rnacentral:rRNA from 1 species